rnacentral:misc_RNA from 1 species
CAUGCAGCAGGAACGGUUGAUUCCACAAAACACUCAGCACCAUCUUCACUUUGCCGGACCACACCAUCCACUUGCUGCUGAGCAAGUUUCUCUAAACCACUUGCCUUGAGCCGAUCAACCAUUUCUUCAUAUAAUGCAUUAGCCUCAUUAAGACGUUCCGCAUCUUGCAUCUUUUGCAGCAUCCAGCGAUCAACUAAUAUCUUAUUUUCCGCUUCUGCAUUCUUAGCCUUGACAAUCAUCUCUUCCAAUUGCUUCCGAAGUGAGUGAUUCUCACUCACAACCAAUUCUAACGCCUUAAUUUUUUCUUCCAAAUCUACCUUUAAUUGAGAGCAUUCAUCCCUUGUUUGAGCCAACUCCUUUUGCAAAUCAGUGAAUGCUGUCUCUUUCUCUUCCAGUGCAGCUUUUGAUGCUCGGGACUCUGCUACCUCCACCACAAGUUGCUCGGAUAACCGAGACUGAGCUUUGUAACAUUGCUGAAGUUCCAAUUCAAGAUUUUCUGCUUUCUCCUUCCAUUCUGAUCCCUGAAAGAUAAUCGGUCUAGAAAGAGCAAUAUAAGCAGGAGCAUGAGCGACUUCUUCAAGUAAAUGGCGCUUCCUUAACGCCUUAAGCGCGUGCUUUAUGGCUUCCCUCGCAAGCUCCUCCUGAGACAUAUUUGAUUGAAUAUGACUGAAUCUU